rnacentral:lncRNA from 1 species
UAACAACAUGAAGGAAUUAUUAAACCAAAAGUUAAGUAGUCGUAACUACCUCAAAUCCUACCCCUCGCUUACUUCAGUUACUUGUCUGAUCUCAUCUGUGUAUCCCAAACAGAAACUCAUGUCUCUUUAAAUUGGGGUUGAAACUUCUGAGAUUCUCUGGAAUAAACAAACCAUAGCAAUUAAAGUGGUUUACCGAUAACAUAUGGAGUCGAAGAUGGUGGAUUUAGAUCAGAUAUCGUGGGUGGAAUCAGACGUUGAAAGAGGGACGAUUGAAGUUUAAGGUGGGGAGUGGCGGUGCUGGUAGACUUCGGCAGAGUGACGGUGGAUCUCAUGCCAUUCUUCAACAAAACAAGAGAUAGAGUGACAAAAAAAAAAAAAAAAAAAAAAAAAAAAUUUAAGGGGGGGGGGGGNGACGUUGGGACUGAAAUUUUUUCUUGAUUUGUGCAAAUCUUAAAUCGAUCUCAAAACCUAAAUGCAUCUUCCACUGUAAUAUGGAUUUUUAUCGUACCCUUCACCUUUUUUUGCUUCUCUCUAUUUUAUCUUUGAAGAACCUACUGAAUCAAACCGAAGAUGCAUCUUUCUCUUUUCUCUCUUCUAUCGUCGGCAGGCUUCCAUCACCACAACCCACCUGUCAACGCCGCUGCGACCGGGAUGAGGAUUAUUGACCAUCGCUUAUCCCAUUACUGUCAAGGAAAUCGAUAACAGCCCGUUCCGAACGAGAGAAAGGAAAGAAAUAGAUGAAAAUGAGAAGAAAAUAGAAGAAAUUGGUGUUCCGAAUUUCACCGAAGUAGAGAAUUGGAAGAAAGUGGAGGGAAAU